GGCUGACGUCUUGGUUUGGCUGUCUAGUGACGGAGGCUGCCGGGUCGGCUGGACCCUUGCGGCGUCUGUCGGAGGCGGGCUCAAGUUCAGGGUUGGGGACGGGGAUCGAGACACCGGCAUCCAGAAAGCUGGGGAGGCUCGCUAGUGGCCCCGGGCGGAAGGCCUGGGUGGGGAGUGGAGGUGGCGCGCGCGCACGCACGCACACACAAGCACACACACACACGCACACACACGCACACACGUGAAGGGGCUGAGCGACCUGAGCUCCAGCAGGCUCUGCACCCCCACACUUCCGGGAGGCAGCGGCGCGGGUGAAGAUGGUUGUGUGCGCCCCGGGUGCGGGAGCGAGAAAGUGUGUUGAAGUUGAACGGGCUUGAGUGUCCCUCCCACGUUGAGCACGCGUGGAAGUUUAUCUCUUGGUUAAGUUCCAGAGGAGGAUCUGUGCCGCUGUGUGCUCUACCUGGAAGCUAGAGAUUUGCGGUACUAAGAACCGACUCGUCAGGGUCCUCGGCACAACACUUCACCCUCUGGAGACAUGCGGGGAGGGGCUCGCUUUGCCUCAGAGGGACGCGCUUUCUAGACGUGAAAUAAAGGGGCGACCCCAGCAUCCAUGGGGGUCAAAAUCAACAUUUAAGGGUUCAAAACUCAGGAAACCCCAGCGAUCGCCUUUGCCCGGGCGCGUCUCGCGCAUACGCAACCCGCGCCCGCCCUACCCCCCACCCCCCAGCUCCUGAUUUGCUUCUGGGAAAACAAGUCUUGAGAGCCGCCGCCGACUCGCCCGAAAGUCACGCUGCCUAAGCGGGAGUCCCUGGUAGAAGCAGGCUAAAGUCUCCCCUCCCCGCCCGCUGGUGGAUUCAUAUCCUGUGUGGCCUCUAGGAAGCGCUAGACACAUCAUUCUGGUACAUGGCUAAACCAUGAGAAUGAUUCCGAUGAACAUCCAAACGCUUGGAAGUCUGGAAGCUCUGGAUCAACAUUUUCUGUCUUGUGAAUAGCAAUGAACAACCUCAGAGAUUUAGAACAACGUGAACGUGUUUUCCGUGCUUGCCAAUGUCCAGCUUCAUCCAGGCCAAAAUGUCCACUCUGAGACACUGCCUGGAAGAGCCCUGCCUGAGAUACUGCUGUUGUGUGUAACAGGAGAGAGAGAAGUUAUAUCACCGAGUGACACUUCAAUCUUUGCCCAGAGGUCACUGCCCUUCAUCUUCUAUUGGCUAAAGCAUGUCACAAAGAUGGGCCUGACACAGGAGAAGAAUGUGGGAUCUGAUAAGGAGGUCAGCUGAUAUUUAGCAAUAUGAAUCUUGGAUUCUCUAUCUAGAACAUGAAAAUAGGUUGAACAAACUAGAUAUAUAGUUUGUUUGAAUGUUAUAAUUCAAACCAUGGAGUCUCAUGUAGCCACUUUGAAAAGUGAAUUGUCUUGAACAUGUGAGCUGACCUGGAGGAGCCCGUUGAUGGCUUUAAGUGAGCAAAGCAAGCUGGUUUUAUUUUUGGAUAAAUUGAAAAAGCCAUAAGCCAAGCAUGGUGGUACAUACCUGUAAUUCCAGCACUCAUGAGGCUGAGACAGAAGGAUUGCUACAAGUUUAAGGCCUUCCUGGUCUACACAGUGAAUUCAAAGCUCUCAAAAAACAAAACAAAACAAAACAGAACCCAAAUCAAACCAACUUAAAGUGUAUGUAUGAGUGUACUGGUAUGAGAUUAUUAAUAAAAAUGCCUCGUGAGCACUUAUUGUGGACAGCA